CUGCAACUACAGUAACACAAACUUCACAGAUCUGUACAUGCUUUGUGAGCAACCAAGGGCUUAUUUUCAUCAUUUAGGUAGAAAUUUUAAGAUACUGAUUCUUGAGAUGGAUUAUAAUUUUGCCAACUGAAAUCUCCCCAAAACAGACUUGGCAAUCAAUUCCACCAUUUAUAAUCCACAAGCGAUGGCUUGGUAGCACAGAGGAUGCAGUUACUUGGAAACAUGCUUUCAGCUUUAGGGAUGAAAGCCAGAUUUUAACAUUUUCAGAAAACUGCUGCAUUGUUUAGAUUGAAGGUGAAAAUUCUGCCUCCUGUCUUUAUUUUAAGCAAUGCAGCAACUUCUUUAAACUGCUGAAAACUGCCUUGCAUUUCCAAAAUUGAAAGCAUGCUGGUGUGAUUUUAGCCAGGUGGGAUUACCGUCACGGAGCGAAGUCUCCACAUACUGUUGGAGGUUUGGGGUCAGCCUGACUGUUGUUUUCUUUGUGUUUUGAAGUGCAAGGGGAGAAAAAUCAGGCCCCUCUGAGGUUUGGGAUUUAGCCCAUCUUUAUAUCAUACUAAUACUGAUUUUCCUGUGGCUUAAAUCAACCCUCCUACUAUCCACAAGAGGUUACUGGGAUGUGUCCUGUGAGCCCCCUCCUUUCCCCCAGCACAGCUCUGAGUGAUGAUCUCAUUCUCCACUCGUAUAUCUUCUCAUUCCAUCUGUGGGCCAAUAACUCAUAAAUCUGUCCCUUCUUUCAUGGCUUGUCUCAUUUCAUCUCAUCCUGUCUCAUGUCUCUUCUUGGGUGUUUUGUUGUCAGUUAUGAGUCACUAUAACUCAGAGUUAAUUCACAUUUGAAACCCUCUUCCCUCUCCACAUUACUGUUCAAUAUAUGCAACUUAGGUCCCAUGAAUGCCCUGUCUCCUGAAAAAAAAAUUUAAAAAAAAAGGAAAGAAAAACCCCAAUUCGUAUUUUUGAACAUUAUCAAGGAAAGCAAACUUACAGAAUACAAGUUCAGGAGCUUCCAAAAUGAAGGCUGCCAAUAAUUUUUUUAAUUCCCUUUCAGUAUCUUCAUUGCACUUAGAUUUUACAGUUGACACUCAAAUCACCACCACUGUUCAUUUUGCAUCAGGAACUGCUCAUGCCUGGGCUGUGUAACAGGUGCAAAGCUGUAGUUUUGAAACAAAGGCAUCCAGACUUCACCAUCAACUUAAUCAGACAUCCCAGUCACCACUCAGGGCAGGAUGGAUGUUCAAAUCAAGGAACAGGCACUCCUGCACUUUCUGGAGCCACUGCCUUGGUUACCAGACCCAGAAAACAUCACAUUCUCUAUUAGGUUUUUGAUACCAAUUCUUCCUAUGCUCAAUGCAGAGUGGUUUGGAAUGAGAAGGACCAUGGUUCUGAGAGUUUUGCAAAUUCUUCCAAUUAGGAAAAAUUCCUUUUAAAACGCCAUCAUCUUCUAGAAAUACCAACUGUGGUAGUAUACUGAUUUCAAAUUUUUCAAGUCCCAAAGUUAAACAAUAUUUGUGAACUGGAAGUACUCCUUCUAUGAAAACCAAGCCAAAUUAAAAUCUGCAUCUCAAAUACAGCAAUACUUGUAAGCAGCUUUGUUAUAUUACAAUUAUAAUUUAUUUAAAAAACAGUGUAUCAGGUUGUGUUAGAAACAUGAAAGGUUUGCAACAAGCAUUAAGUGUAAUUUUUUCCCUAAGAAGGAAAAAAACCUUCCUUUCUAAAAUAGCUUGUUACUCACAGUUUCUCAAACCACAUAUCGUCUGAAAUUUCUAAGAGGAACAUUUGACUUCUAGAGUUUUCUUAUUUUGAGGACCGAUCCCAACCUGAAAUUCAAAGUAAAGUCUAUCUUCCCCAUAACGAUGAGUUUUGAGAACAUUAAUGUCAGUAACUCGUAUCUAAAAUAUGGGAUGUUUGUUUGACCACCACCUUUGGGUACUGAUUUAGUCCAUAAUUUCAGGUUAUAGAAUGUUCUCAGGCACUAUUCUUCCUAUCUAUUGUCAAUAAAAUUCAUGCAAGGCUCAUUUCUCCUCUCCUUGAGUGUUAACUCUUCUGAAGGAACUAUGUAACUGAGUAGAAAACCACUUCUUAAUCUAGAGUGUACUUAUUUUCAAAAGGCUUGAAAGUGUAAAUGCUUUAGAUACAAUUAAUCUUCUUACAGGAAAACAGUAUCCCUCAUCAAAGUUGAACAGAAACCUUUCCUAAAUCUACAUGAGGAGAUUCUGACAGCAGUUUCUUGUUCUUCCAAAGAAUACUGUAGCUCCAAAGUGAGACUGAGGAUGUUCUGAAGGCAAACGAUCUGACCCAAGAUUCAAAAACACUUAGAAGGAAAAAACAAGAAUUUUCACCACUGGACUUUACUUUUUGGGAUGCCACUGUGAGCAAGUACUUGCACUGGAGGUCCAAUUGCAGGAACUGCAGGGCACACCACGUGUGCACCAAUUGCUGGUGUAGGAUAUGAAAGUGCAAAUACCUGAACACCUUGCAGGUUAGUCUCCAAUGGCUCCUCCUUGUGUGUUUUGAGUUCAUUUUGCCAGACCACUGCUUUGUCUUUUUAAGGGCAGUCUGAGACAGAUGUGCUGUAACAGCAAAAGAAAAAGCUAUCUGAGUGUGAAUUUAGCCAGAAAACGCAGAAUAAACACAGCAAAAGCCAAAACAUCAUAAAAUAAACAUUUAAGUACCGUUACCCCCUACAGUCUGUUUUAUUGAUAAAUGUGAGGUACCAUGCAGAGCAGACGAACAAGCAACAGCAAACAAACCAUGUCAUUUCAUAGGAAAGGAUGGGAAAUAUUUGCACUGUUCCUUUAAGCAGUUUUGAACUUUCUGAACUGAACCCCCCUCAAGACUGCUGGCAGUGCUCGGAGCUUUCCUUCUCCCCAAGCCCUCUCCUCCUCCCCUCCUUUAGCUGAACCAGAAGAGCACACUAGCUCCAGUCCAUCUCCUUUAGGAUACACACACACCUCACAGGCUGGGCCGACUCACCCAGAGCGUGCACCUUAUAGGAGAGCUACACUCCAAACCUGGGAAAACUUUCCCUUCUCUUGGUUACUCAGGAACUGGGAACAAACCAUUUGUAGUUCACCAAAGCCACAUAAAUGUAUAUGCUUGCUUUGAAUAGAGUGAUGCUGUGCCAGUGCAUACAAGCAGAGAAUUUGGGGAAAUGUGUGUGAAAUAUCUUUAAAUUCAUCAGAAUAAACACCAGAGAAUCAUUUUCUCUCCAGGUCAGUAAGAAAAUGUGUCUUCUAUCUUUGUGGAAGAGUCAGUUCACUGACAUUAAUGUGGAGGUAAAUCAACAUAAGUGCACAAAUAUUCCAACUUCACAUAGAUCUGGAGAGAACAGAGACGUUACAGAACGUCUGAAGUGUUCUUCAGUUCCUCUUCAGUACUGAUCCUUCACACCUCCAACAAGGAAAUCCAGUGCCAGUAGCAGGAGACCAACAUGCUCAUCCCCAGUUUCAAAUGCUUCUGGUUGGUAACUUUUGCCUUUUUGCUAACAUUAGGCUCUCCACAUUCAUUUCAAAGAGGUUAUAAAAUGCACCUACUGUGCAUGUAAAGUACUUUCCAUAAAGGUAUUCUUUAAUUAAGUAGUGCUGAGCUUGGGUCUCUUGUGAAUAUUGAUGCAAGCCUUACAUUUUCAAAACUUAGGGAAAUGUGAUUUUAGAAGAUGCAAUCUUCCAUAACAGCAAUUUCUGAAGAUUUUGGGUCCCUCUGAAGGUUGCUGAGGCUGAUCACCCAAAAUCACUAAUUAUUUCCCAAUCUUAAGGUGAGGUAUAUUGUGAAAAGUGAUGGAGUGGCCACUAUUUGGAAGAUAUAGGACAAUUUACACAUCAGUAACAUCCCAUGGAGUUCAAAACCAUGUUCUCUUUGCUGGUAGCCAAAUUCUUCCAGUAGCAGCAAGAAUAUAAUCUCCCCAAAGUAAACUGUAAGGCUAGAGUAGAAAAUGAUAAAGUAAACUGUGCACUGAGUAACUGCAGGGAGUCUAAAGGUGAGGAUCUAAUAAUUAGUCUUAUCUCUAUCAAGGUGCAACAGGAAUAAGCUGAGAAGUGCAAGAAUGCCUGAGAAGGCCCCAGGGCUCUUCACAGCUACAGAGAAGCCUCAUUGCUCUGGAGAAUUUUAAGGCUGAUCUCACGUGGAGAGAACAUGAGACGUUCCUUUUUCCUGCCACGCCACUGAUGUGGGUGUCUGCAAGAAGCCCCAGGUCUCAGAAGCCUCCAUUACCAAGCACACAUGACUUAGUUAUAUUGGAACACUGUAGGAAAUGGAAAGCAGCCCUGGCUGUCCAAAACCAGCAAAAGAGAAGCCAGUAUAUUGUAUACUUUGGUCUGCUCUCUAUAGAAGUAGCCCCAAGCAGCCUCAAGACAUUUUACACUGAAAUACAUUUUGGCAGAACACAAAGAAACUCCCUCCUGCGUGACGCUGAACAUGGACUGUCAGUCCUGCACGGGACUGAUCCCUCCCUCUCGCUCCUCUCUGCAGAAACCCUAAAUCCACUGCUGCAACCUUCUACCCGAACCCCACACGAGAGCGGGGGAACCCGGCACAGAACUGAAGGGGGAGAUGGAAAUGUUUACCAGCACGAGGAGGACUGAAGGGCUGUGCAGCUGUUCCACUGCACGGCUUCUCGGGGGGGAACUGGGGAGCACAGACAGACCAGCUCUCACUUCCAGCUGAGAUAAACAUUUCCAAGGCACUCGUUUCAGACAGGAAGGCACAGCCUCGGGACAGAGCUCACCCCUCCCUGAGCCCCC